GAUGAACGCUGGCGGCGUGCCUAAUACAUGCAAGUCGAGCGAACAGAUAAGGAGCUUGCUCCUUUGACGUUAGCGGCGGACGGGUGAGUAACACGUGGGUAACCUACCUAUAAGACUGGAAUAACUCCGGGAAACCGGGGCUAAUGCCGGAUAACAUUUAGAACCGCAUGGUUCUAAAGUGAAAGAUGGUCUUGCUAUCACUUAUAGAUGGACCCGCGCCGUAUUAGCUAGUUGGUAAGGUAACGGCUUACCAAGGCAACGAUACGUAGCCGACCUGAGAGGGUGAUCGGCCACACUGGAACUGAGACACGGUCCAGACUCCUACGGGAGGCAGCAGUAGGGAAUCUUCCGCAAUGGGCGAAAGCCUGACGGAGCAACGCCGCGUGAGUGAUGAAGGUCUUCGGAUCGUAAAACUCUGUUAUUAGGGAAGAACAAAUGUGUAAGUAACUGUGCACGUCUUGACGGUACCUAAUCAGAAAGCCACGGCUAACUACGUG
rnacentral:rRNA from 1 species